rnacentral:rRNA from 1 species
GACGUAGGGGGCGAGCGUUGUUCGGAAUUACUGGGCGUAAAGAGCUCGUAGGCUGGAAAUUAAGUCUUUGAAUAAAUCUCCCGGCUUAACCGGGAACAAUUUAGAGAUACUGAUUUUCUUGAGAACAGGAGAGGGGAAUGGAAUUCCUAGUGUAGCGGUGAAAUGCGUAGAUAUUAGGAGGAACACCAGUGGCGAAGGCGGUUCUCUGGCCAGUUUCUGACGCUGAGGAGCGAAAGCUGGGGGAGCGAACGGGAUUAGAUACCCCGGUAGUCCCAGCUGUAAACGAUGGAUACUAGGUGUAGGAGGUAUCGACCCCUUCUGUGCCGCAGUUAACACAAUAAGUAUCCCGCCUGGGGAGUACGGCCGCAAGGCUAAA